AAUCAUGUUAUCCAGUAAUUAGAAAUAGAAUACAUGGUAAUAUAUAUGGUAAUUGAAUUGGAAGUUAGCUCAUAUGGUUAUAUGUAUGCAAAAUAGUUAGAUAUAUGGAAAUUAUCAAAGAUAGCUAAUUGAGAUGGGUUUGUUAGUAUAAUAUGUAUUGAAUUAAUUAUGGGUUUAGUUUUGAUAAUGAUUAUGUUAUGCUAUCAAGUUAUGGG
rnacentral:lncRNA from 1 species